UACGUAGGGUGCAAGCGUUGUCCGGAAUUAUUGGGCGUAAAGAGUUCGUAGGCGGUUUGUCGCGUCGUUCGUGAAAACUUGGGGCUUAACUCCAAGCGUGCGGGCGAUACGGGCAGACUUGAGUACUACAGGGGAGACUGGAAUUCCUGGUGUAGCGGUGAAAUGCGCAGAUAUCAGGAGGAACACCGGUGGCGAAGGCGGAUCUCUGGGCCUUACCUGACGCUGAGGCGCGAAAGCUAGGGGAGCGAACAGG
rnacentral:rRNA from 1 species